rnacentral:rRNA from 1 species
AUUGAACGCUGGCGGCAUGCCUUACACAUGCAAGUCGAACGGUAACAGGUCUUCGGAUGCUGACGAGUGGCGAACGGGUGAGUAAUAUAUCGGAACGUGCCCAGUAGUGGGGGAUAGCCCGGCGAAAGCCGGAUUAAUACCGCAUGAGACCUGAGGGUGAAAGCGGGGGAUCGCAAGACCUCGCGCUAUUGGAGCGGCCGAUAUCAGAUUAGUUAGUUGGUGGGGUAAAGGCCUACCAAGGCAACGAUCUGUAGUUGGUCUGAGAGGACGACCAGCCACACUGGGACGGAGACACGGCCCAGACCCCUACGGGAGGCAGCAGUGGGGAAUUUUGGACAAUGGGCGCAAGCCUGAUUCAGCAAUGCCGCGUGCAGGAAGAAGGCCUGCGGGUUGUAAACUGCUUUUGUCAGGGAAGAAAUCCCUUGGGAUAAUACCUCGGGGGGAUGACGGUACCUGAAGAAUAAGCACCGGCUAACUACGUGCCAGCCGCCGCCGUAAAAC